CUGAGUACGGCGGAACACGUGAAAUUCCGUCGGAAUCCGGGAGGACCAUCUCCCAAGGCUAAAUACUCCCUAGUGACCGAUAGUGAACCAGUACCGUGAGGGAAAGGUGAAAAGCACCCCGGAAGGGGAGUGAAACAGUUCCUGAAACCGUGUGCCUACAAGUAGUUAGAGCCCGUUAAUGGGUGAUAGCGUGCCUUUUGUAGAAUGAACCGGCGAGUUACGAUUUGUUGCAAGGUUAAGCGGAAAAAGCGGAGCCGUAGCGAAAGCGAGUCUGAAUAGGGCGCAUAAGUAACAGGUCGUAGACCCGAAACCAGGUGAUCUACCCAUGUCCAGGAUGAAGGUAAGGUAAUACUUACUGGAGGUCCGAACCCACGCACGUUGAAAAGUGCGGGGAUGAGGUGUGGGUAGCGGAGAAAUUCCAAUCGAACUUGGAGAUAGCUGGUUCUCUCCGAAAUAGCUUUAGGGCUAGCCUCGAGGUAAAGAGUCAUGGAGGUAGAGCACUGUUUGGACUAGGGGCCCUUCUCGGGUUACCGAAUUCAGAUAAACUCCGAAUGCCAUGUACUUAUACUCGGGAGUCAGACUGCGAGUGAUAAGAUCCGUAGUCGAAAGGGAAACAGCCCAGACCACCAGUUAAGGUCCCCAAAUAUAUGUUAAGUGGAAAAGGAUGUGGGGUUGCUUAGACAACCAGGAUGUUGGCUUAGAAGCAGCCACCAUUGAAAGAGUGCGUAAUAGCUCACUGGUCGAGUGACCCCGCGCCGAAAAUGUACCGGGGCUAAACAUAUUACCGAAACUGUGGAUGAACCUCUUUAGAGGUUCGUGGUAGGAGAGCGUUCUAAGGGCGGUGAAGUCAGACCGGAAGGACUGGUGGAGCGCUUAGAAGUGAGAAUGCCGGUAUGAGUAGCGAAAGAAGGGUGAGAAUCCCUUCCACCGAAUAUCUAAGGUUUCCUGAGGAAGGCUCGUCCGCUCAGGGUUAGUCGGGACCUAAGCUGAGGCCGAUAGGCGUAGGCGAUGGACAACAGGUAGAGAUUCCUGUACCAGUGCUAAUUGUUUAACCGAUGGGGUGACACAGAAGGAUAGGGAAUCGCACGAAUGGAAAUGUGCGUCCAAGCAGUGAGUGUGAGAAGCAGGCAAAUCCGCUUCUCGCGAAGCAUGAGCUGUGAUGGGGAAGGAAAUUAAGUACGGAAGUUCCUGAUUUCACGCUGUCAAGAAAAGCCUCUAGGAAGAGUAGUACUGCCCGUACCGCAAACCGACACAGGUAGAUGAGGAGAGAAUCCUAAGGUGAGCGAGAGAACUCUCGUUAAGGAACUCGGCAAAAUGACCCCGUAACUUCGGGAGAAGGGGUGCUCUAUUAGGGUGCAAGCCCGAGAGAGCCGCAGUGAAUAGGCCCAGGCGACUGUUUAGCAAAAACACAGGUCUCUGCAAAACCGUAAGGUGACGUAUAGGGGCUGACGCCUGCCCGGUGCUGGAAGGUUAAGAGGAGUGCUUAGCUUCGGCGAAGGUACGAAUUGAAGCCCCAGUAAACGGCGGCCGUAACUAUAACGGUCCUAAGGUAGCGAAAUUCCUUGUCGGGUAAGUUCCGACCCGCACGAAAGGCGCAACGAUCUGGGCACUGUCUCAACGAGAGACUCGGUGAAAUUAUAGUACCUGUGAAGAUGCAGGUUACCCGCGACAGGACGGAAAGACCCCGUGGAGCUUUACUGCAACCUGAUAUGGAAUGUUUGUACCGCUUGUACAGGAUAGGUAGGAGCCGAAGAGACGUGUGCGCUAGCAUACGAGGAGGCAAUGGUGGGAUACUACCCUGGCUGUAUGACCAUUCUAACCCGCCACGCUUAGCGCGUGGGGAGACAGUGUCAGGUGGGCAGUUUGACUGGGGCGGUCGCCUCCUAAAGAGUAACGGAGGCGCCCAAAGGUUCCCUCAGAAUGGAUGGAAAUCAUUCGCAGAGUGUAAAGGCACAAGGGAGCUUGACUGCGAGACUGACAAGUCGAGCAGGGACGAAAGUCGGGCUUAGUGAUCCGGUGGUUCCGCAUGGAAGGGCCAUCGCUCAACGGAUAAAAGCUACCCCGGGGAUAACAGGCUUAUCUCCCCCAAGAGUCCACAUCGACGGGGAGGUUUGGCACCUCGAUGUCGGCUCGUCGCAUCCUGGGGCUGUAGUCGGUCCCAAGGGUUGGGCUGUUCGCCCAUUAAAGCGGCACGCGAGCUGGGUUCAGAACGUCGUGAGACAGUUCGGUCCCUAUCCGUCGCGGGCGCAGGAAAUUUGAGAGGAGCUGUCCUUAGUACGAGAGGACCGGGAUGGACACACCGCUGGUGUACCAGUUGUUCCGCCAGGAGCAUCGCUGGGUAGCUAUGUGUGGCAGGGAUAAACGCUGAAAGCAUCUAAGCGUGAAGCCCCCCUCAAGAUGAGAUUUCCCAUUUCUUCGGAAAGUAAGAUCCCUGAAAGAUGAUCAGGUAGAUAGGUUUGGAGUGGAAGUGUAGCGAUACAUGGAGCGGACAAAUACUAAUCGAUCGAGGACUUAACCAA
rnacentral:rRNA from 1 species